GAUGAACGCUAGCGGCAGGCCUAAUACAUGCAAGUCGAACGGGAUCUGAGGGUAGCUUGCUACCCGAUGUGAGAGUGGCGCAUGGGUGCGUAACGCGUGAGCAACCUACCCAUAUCAGGGGGAUAGCCCGAAGAAAUUCGGAUUAACACCGCAUAAUAAUACGCUAACACAUGUUGAUGUAUUUAAAUAUUUAUAGGAUAUGGAUGGGCUCGCGUGACAUUAGCUAGUUGGUAAGGUAACGGCUUACCAAGGCGACGAUGUCUAGGGGCUCUGAGAGGAGAAUCCCCCACACUGGUACUGAGACACGGACCAGACUCCUACGGGAGGCAGCAGUAAGGAAUAUUGGUCAAUGGGCGCAAGCCUGAACCAGCCAUGCCGCGUGCAGGAUGACUGCCCUAUGGGUUGUAAACUGCUUUUGUUAGGGAAUAAACCUUCUUACGUGUAAGGAGCUGAAUGUACCUAAAGAAUAAGGAUCGGCUAACUCCGUGCCAGCCGCCGCGGUAA
rnacentral:rRNA from 1 species